GGGGGGGGGGGCAAGCGUUGUUCGGAAUUACUGGGCGUAAAGGGCGUGUAGGCGGCCCUGCAAGUCUUUCGUGAAAUCCCACAGCUCAACUGUGGAACUGCGAGGGAAACCGCAGGACUUGAGUCCGGGAGAGGAGAGUGGAAUUCCCAGUGUAGCGGUGAAAUGCGUAGAUAUUGGGAGGAACACCGGUGGCGAAGGCGGCUCUCUGGACCGGCACUGACGCUGAGGCGCGAAAGCUAGGGGAGCAAACGGGAUUAGAUACCCCGGUAGUCCUAGCCUUAAACGAUGAGCACUUGGUGUGGCGGGUAUCGACCCCUGCCGUGCCGAAGCUAACGCAUUAAGUGCUCCGCCUGGGGAGUACGGUCGCAAAGGCUG
rnacentral:rRNA from 1 species